rnacentral:rRNA from 1 species
GGCUACCAUGCAAGUCGAACGUUAGGGUUUAGCAAUAGACCCAAAAGUGGCGAACGGGUGAGUAACACGUAGGUAACCUGCCGCGCAGAGGGGGAUAACGGUUGGAAACGACCGCUAAUACCGCAUGGUACUAAGAAGGUUGGCUUCUUCUUGGUUAAAACUUUGGUGCUGCGCGAGGGGCCUGCGUCCGAUUAGUUAGUUGGUGAGGUAACGGCUCACCAAGACGAUGAUCGGUAGCUGGUCUGAGAGGAUGAUCAGUCACACGGGAACUGAGACACGGUCCCGACUCCUACGGGGGGCAGCAGUGAGGAAUAUUGCACAAUGGACGCAAGUCUGAUGCAGCAACGCCGCGUGGAGGAUGAAGGUCUUUGGAUUGUAAACUCCUUUUCUCAGGGAAGAGUGAGGACGGUACCUGAGGAAUAAGUCACGGCUAACUACGUGCCAGCAGCCGCGGUAAUACGUAGGUGGCAAGCGUUAUCCGGAAUUACUGGGCGUAAAGCGCACGCAGGCGGCGCAGCAAGUUCGACGUGAAAGCUCCCGGCUUAACUGGGAGAGGUCGUUGAAGACUGCUGUGCUUGAGGCAAGGAGAGGGGUGUAGAAUUCCUGGUGUAGUGGUGGAAUGCGUAGAUAUCAGGAGGAAUACCAGUGGCGAAAGCGGCACCCUAGCCUUAGCCUGACGCUCAUGUGCGAAAGCGUGGGGAGCGAACGGGAUUAGAUACCCCGGUAGUCCACGCUGUAAACGAUGAACACUAGGUGUAGGGGAUGUGAAAGUUCUCUGUGCCGAAGCCAACGCGUUAAGUGUUCCGCCUGGGGAGUACGGCCGCAAGGCUAAAACUCAAAGGAAUUGACGGGGGCCC